GUCGAGCGGAUGAGAAGAGCUUGCUCUUCGAUUCAGCGGCGGACGGGUGAGUCAUUCCUAGGAAUCUGCCUGGUAGUGGGGGACAACGUUUCGAAAGGAUCGCUAAUACCGCAUACGUCCUACGGGAGAAAGCAGGGGACCUUCGGGCCUUGCGCUAUCAGAUGAGCCUAGGUCGGAUUAGCUAGUUGGUGGGGUAAAGGCUCACCAAGGCGACGAUCCGUAACUGGUCUGAGAGGAUGAUCAGUCACACUGGAACUGAGACACGGUCCAGACUCCUACGGGAGGCAGCAGUGGGGAAUAUUGGACAAUGGGCGAAAGCCUGAUCCAGCCAUGCCGCGUGUGUGAAGAAGGUCUUCGGAUUGUAAAGCACUUUAAGUUGGGAGGAAGGGCAUUAACCUAAUACGUUAGUGUUUUGACGUUACCGGCAGAAUAAGCACCGGCUAACUCUGUGCCAGCAGCCGCGGUAAUACAGAGGGUGGCAGCGUUAAUCGGAAUUACUGGGCGUAAAGCGCGCGUAGGUGGUUCCGUUAGUUGGAUGUGGAAAUCCCGGGCUCAACCGGGAACUGGCUUCCAAACUGGGGAGCUUAAAUAUGGAAAAGGGGGGGGAAAUUUCCGGGGUACGGGGGAAAUGGUUAAAAAUGGGAAGGAAAACCAGGGGGGAAGGGAACACCCUGGGACUGGAAUU
rnacentral:rRNA from 1 species